rnacentral:rRNA from 1 species
UACGGGGGGGGCAAGCGUUGUUCGGAAUUACUGGGCGUAAAGGGCUCGUAGGUGGCCAACUAAGUCAGACGUGAAAUCCCUCGGCUCAACCGGGGAACUGCGUCUGAUACUGGAUGGCUUGAAUCCGGGAGAGGGAUGCGGAAUUCCAGGUGUAGCGGUGAAAUGCGCAGAGAUCGGGAGGAACACCCGUAGCGAAGGCGGCACUCUGGGCCGGUACUGACGCUGAGGAGCGAAAGCGUGGGGAGCAAACAGG